CGGGAAAAGGGAAAGGCUUAGUGGCGGACGGGUGAGUAACGCGUGGGUAACCUGGCCCAUACAGGGGGAUAACACUUAGAAAUAGGUGCUAAUACCGCAUAACAACAGAAAGCGCAUGCUUUUUGUUUGAAAGCCAAGGUGGUAUGGGAUGGACCCGCGUCUGAUUAGCUGGUUGGCGGGGUAAAGGCCCACCAAGGCGACGAUCAGUAGCCGGCCUGAGAGGGUGGACGGCCACAUUGGGACUGAGACACGGCCCAAACUCCUACGGGAGGCAGCAG
rnacentral:rRNA from 1 species